rnacentral:lncRNA from 1 species
CUUUAUUUUAUUGUCCUUGAAUAAUUCGAAAACAGACAUGCUAUAAAAGAAAUACAAAAGUUUAUCAUGAGAAGAGAUUAACCCAUCCAAUCUUCUUGUAAUCCUAAUAUCAACACGUUUUCGAGAGGGAAACAAAGAAAAAAAAAGAAAUGAAGUGUGUGUAUGUGUGUAUGUAUGCAAAUCAUCCUAAGCAAAUACCAUCGAAAGCUACUAAUAGUCCUUCCCCUUAAUUCUUGUUCCCGUUGGUUCCCCCACCCGGACCGGAGGGAGGUACGGGUCCUCUAGGAAGAACAUUGAACAACAGCGGACCGUACCCCUCCACAGGCUUCUGCUUCGGUCCUGAGCUCUUGGUCGUCACCUUUGAUGCCAUGUCGCAUGGCCGGGCUCGGGGAGGAUUAUGCCCAAAAGGCCUCUCCAGUGGCAACGCAAGGAUGGUUUCCUUCGGAGACGGGAAACCGCUUAUAGGCCUUGCAGUGGAUCGUUGGAAUAUAAUUAGAAGGAACAAGAUGAAGGUGAUCAUAUAGCGAGCUUGGUGUUGGACAGCCAUUGUUGGAGAGCAAGAGGGGUGUUCAAGGACUACUAAUUGAUCGAGGACGUUGCCAAAAGGUUUAUGGACAGUAGCUAGAAGGAAGGGAAAAGAGAGA